rnacentral:misc_RNA from 1 species
GAUGUGCCCAUGUCUCCCCUUGCUGCAUCCAUUAUAACACCAAGUUGAUGAGAGAAAAUAAUGCAAUCCUCAUAUUUGAUAAUGUUUCAAUUAUCCACUAACUAGAGAGAAAGAAAAUAGACAGCAGCAAAGAAAUAUGCAGGGAGGUGAUAGAGGAAAGCUGCUCCUCUUCAUUUGUCAGCGUAGGAAGUAGUAAAUAAAUUGGUUUAAGCACUGCCCUUUUCUAUAACUUGGCAGUACAGUUCUAACGAAUAUCAACUUGGCAGAGUGUGUGUGUGUGUGCGCACAAUUGUGUUGAUGAUAUGCAUCACACUGCAAAAUUUUGCAUUGUAAUAAGUGAUAUGCAAUCAAGUUGUGCAACAUCCUGGCCAACUUGCCCAUAUAGAUAUCCCAUGGAUGUGAGAUGUCACAUUCUCUCCCACAUAAAAUUUCAAUAUCAUAAUCACAAGCUAAUGAUGUGCUAAUAUUGUUGUGCUAUGAUAGGUACAAUUGCUAAGCUAGAACCGGGUCCUGGGUAUUGUGGUUUGCUGGUGCCUCAAAUGGUUCCAACUUGUCCUUAUUCACAGGUAACCCUUUCCUUGCCUUGCACCUAACUUUGCACAAUUUUCCCUGCACAAUUUUCUAACUUAUGUUGACUUUAUACUAAUUAUAACAGACCAUGCCCAACUAACCCAAAAACCUUUCAGGCCUAAUAUUAGGCAUUUAAUGAAAUUCUAAGUUGUUCAAUUUCAACGAAAUAAAAUAUUCAACACAAUACUGGGAGCAACUGCCUUCUGAUCCUGAGAAAGUAUCAGCUGUGUUUGAAAAAUCUAAAUGCAGCAAGGCCAAGUAAACUACCACAUCAUACUACACAUCAUAGAUUAUAAA